AUUGAACGCUGGCGGCAUGCCUUACACAUGCAAGUCGAACGGAAGCACGGGUGCUUGCACCUGGUGGCGAGUGGCGAACGGGUGAGUAAUACAUCGGAACGUACCUUAUCGUGGGGGAUAACGCAGCGAAAGCUGUGCUAAUACCGCAUACGCCCUGAGGGGGAAAGCGGGGGAUCGAAAGACCUCGCGCGAUUAGAGCGGCCGAUGCCUGAUUAGCUUGUUGGUGGGGUAAAAGCCCACCAAGGCGACGAUCAGUAGCUGGUCUGAGAGGACGAUCAGCCACACUGGGACUGGGACACGGCCCAGACUCCUACGGGAGGCAGCAGUGGGGAAUUUUGGACAAUGGGGGCAACCCUGAUCCAGCAAUGCCGCGUGAGUGAAGAAGGCCUUCGGGUUGUAAAGCUCUUUUGUCAGGGGAGAAACACCGGCUCUAACACAGUCCGGGAAUGACGGUACCUGAAGAAUAAGCACCGGCUAACUACGUGCCAGCAGCCGCCGCCG
rnacentral:rRNA from 1 species